UGAGUAACCUGCCCUUCACUUCGGGAUAACUCCGGGAAACCGGGGCUAAUACCGGAUAUGACCUGUGCGCGCAUGCGUGUGGGUGGAAAGAUUUAUUGGUGGGGGAUGGGCUCGCGGCCUAUCAGCUUGUUGGUGAGGUAGUGGCUUACCAAGGCGGCGACGGGUAGCCGGCCUGAGAGGGCGACCGGCCACACUGGGACUGAGAUACGGCCCAGACUCCGUACGGGAGGCA
rnacentral:rRNA from 1 species